rnacentral:tRNA from 1 species
CCCUCUCUGGGCAAAUUGGUAAAGUCGCCACCCCGAGAUGGUGGAGUCAUCCCGGUUCGAAUCCGGGGAGAGGGACCA